GACGAACGCUGGCGGCGUGCUUAACACAUGCAAGUCGAACGGAAAGGCCCUGCUCUUGCGGGGUGCUCGAGUGGCGAACGGGUGAGUAACACGUGAGUAACCUGCCCUUGACUUUGGGAUAACUUCAGGAAACUGGGGCUAAUACCGGAUAGGAGCUCUUGCUGCAUGGUGGGGGUUGGAAAGUUUCGGCGGUUGGGGAUGGACUGGCGGCUUAUCAGCUUGUUGGUGGGGUAGUGGCUUACCAAGGCUUUGACGGGUAGCCGGCCUGAGAGGGUGACCGGCCACAUUGGGACAGAGAUGCGGCCCGGAGGGCUACGGGAGGCAGCAGUGGGGAAUAGUGCACAAUGGGCGGAAGCCUGAUGCAGGAGCGCCGCGUGCGAGAUGACGGCCUUCGGGUUGUAAACCGCUUUCGCCUGUGACGAAGCGUGAGUGACGGUAAUGGGUAAAGAAGCACCGGCUAACUACGUG
rnacentral:rRNA from 1 species